CCUACGGGUGGCAGCAGUGGGGAAUAUUGCACAAUGGGCGCAAGCCUGAUGCAGCCAUGCCGCGUGUGUGAAGAAGGCCUUCGGGUUGUAAAGCACUUUCAGCGGGGAGGAAGGCGGUGAGGUUAAUAACCUCAUCGAUUGACGUUACCCGCAGAAGAGGCACCGGCUAACUCCGUGCCAGCAGCCGCGGUAAUACGGAGGGUGCAAGCGUUAAUCGGAAUUACUGGGCGUAAAGCGCACGCAGGCGGUCUGUCAAGUCGGAUGUGAAAUCCCCGGGCUCAACCUGGGAACUGCAUUCGAAACUGGCAGGCUAGAGUCUUGUAGAGGGGGGUAGAAUUCCAGGUGUAGCGGUGAAAUGCGUAGAGAUCUGGAGGAAUACCGGUGGCGAAGGCGGCCCCCUGGACAAAGACUGACGCUCAGGUGCGAGAGCGUGGGGAGCAAACAGGAUUAGAUACCCGGGUAGUC
rnacentral:rRNA from 1 species